CCUACGGGUGGCAGCAGUGGGGAAUAUUGCACAAUGGGGGAAACCCUGAUGCAGCGACGCCGCGUGAGUGAAGAAGUAAUUCGGUAUGUAAAGCUCUAUCAGCAGGGAAGAAAAUGACGGUACCUGAGUAAGAAGCCCCGGCUAACUACGUGCCAGCAGCCGCGGUAAAACGUAGGGGGCAAGCGUUAUCCGGAUUUACUGGGUGUAAAGGGAGCGUAGACGGCAGUGCAAGUCUGGAGUGAAAGGCGGGGGCUCAACCCCCGGACUGCGCUGGAAACUGUACGGCUGGAGUGCAGGGGAGGUAAGUGGAAUUCCUAGUGUAGCGGUGAAAUGCGUAGUUAUUAGGAGGAACACCAGUGGCGAAGGCGGCUUACUGGACUGUAACUGACGUUGAGGCUCGAAAGCGUGGGGAGCAAACAGGAUUAGAUACCCUUGUAGU
rnacentral:rRNA from 1 species